rnacentral:tRNA from 1 species
GGAAAUAGCUCAGCUGGUAGAGUGCUUGCCUUGCAUGCACAAGGCCCUGGGUUCAAUCCCCAGCACCA